CCGUUCAGGGGUAAACCUGAGAAACCCAAAAGAUCGAAUGGGGAGAUUCAACGUCGACGUUUAAGAUUGCCGUUUGAUUUUAUGAUGUUUCGAGGGCCUUUCGGGGUCUUUUCGAGGCACAUAAUCAUUCUUGGUUAUUUAUUUUAUACGUAAGCGUGCACUUCUCCCCUAGUAGGACGUCGCGACCCGUUGGGUGUCGGCCUACGGUCCGCGAGGUCGCCUGUCGUUUGUUGCGCGUUUACCCGCGUAACACGCAACAGACCCGCGGUAUCCCGGCCGGCUGCCCGGCGGUAUUGAUUAUGUAUCACGAAUGGUAUUUGGCCGCUUUCUCUUAAUUGAUCGUGCGUUCCCGGCUCGUCGGCAGUCUCGCCUCGCUCGGAUUUACGGACUUUGCGCCGUUGCCGGGUGCUUGGCGCGGAUGUUAGUCGACGAUGUCCUCGGACUGGCUAUUACCGGUCGGCGACGCUACUGCUUUGGGUACUUUCAGGACCCGUCUUGAAACACGGACCAAGGAGUCUAACAUGUACGCGAGUCAUUGGGACUUGUUUAAGCCUAAAGGCGCAAUGAAAGUGAAGAUCGUACAUUUAGCUGCGAUCGAGGGAGGAUGGUCGAUCACUUAAUCGUAUCGGCUCGCACUCCCGGGGCGUCUCGUGCUCAUUACGAGCAGAGGCGCACCUAGAGCGUACACGUUGGGACCCGAAAGAUGGUGAACUAUGCCUGGUCAGGACGAAGUCAGGGGAAACCCUGAUGGAGGUCCGUAGCGAUUCUGACGUGCAAAUCGAUCGUCGGAACUGGGUAUAGGGGCGAAAGACUAAUCUACCCAUC
rnacentral:rRNA from 1 species